CUGAUUGUAUCUUGAUUGCUAG
rnacentral:siRNA from 1 species